UACGUAGGGUGCAAGCGUUCGUCCGGAAUUAUUGGGCGUAAAGAGCUCGUAGGCGGUCUGUCGCGUCUGCUGUGAAAACUCAGGGCUUAACCCUGAGCUUGCAGUGGGUACGGGCAGACUAGAGUGCGGUAGGGAGACUGGAAUUCCUGGUGUAGCGGUGGAAUGCGCAGAUAUCAGGAGGAACACCGGUGGCGAAGGCGGGUCUCUGGGCAGUAACUG
rnacentral:rRNA from 1 species